UACGUAGGGGGCAAGCGUUGUCCGGAUUUAUUGGGCGUAAAGAGCGUGUAGGCGGCCAGGUAGGUCAGCUGUGAAAACUCGAGGCUCAACCUCGAGACGUCGGUUGAAACCACUUGGCUAGAGUCCGGAAGAGGAGAGUGGAAUUCCUGGUGUAGCGGUGAAAUGCGCAGAUAUCAGGAAGAACACCCGUGGCGAAGGCGGCUCUCUGGGACGGUACUGACGCUGAGACGCGAAAGCGUGGGGAUCAAACAGG
rnacentral:rRNA from 1 species